GGUAAAUGAGCGCGCACGAUCAGGAGCAAUGCCGAUGCUCUGUCAGGCCGUGUCGACGGAAUAGGUGUUUUGACACAUUGUAGUCUGUGCAACAAUGCGGACUGGAGACAUGUGGGACAAGAUGAACAGAGCCAACUCGGUAAUGACAUGGGACGAGACCUACCAUACUGGACUUCAUUAAAAUGUAACGCAUAUUGAAGAGAAUGCGAAGAUUGUGUGGACCGAGAGGGAAAGUAUCGACAUGUUUCGAUCAUAUCGUAUGUUGAUAAUUGUAGCCAUAUAUCUCAAACUUGGAAGUCACCAGCAAUCCAGAGGCUGUCCAGACAGACACGUGGUAGUUUGUCUGUGGUUUCCCUCUCUACUUAUACUGGGGUCAAUCGGACAGACUGUCACUACAUGGUCUCUACUACAUGAUAUGUAACUUGUCUCCAUAUUUAGUCGAUUCCGGAACGCCAUCUAGGAUGACGUGUGCAGAGACAUUCAAAUGUACAUGCUAGAUGUGAAAGUGUAAUGUGUACAUUUGUAUGUAUUUUGCUUUUUGUGUUGCGUUUUAUAUAUAAAGCUACUAUUGUU